rnacentral:rRNA from 1 species
UACGUAGGGCGCAAGCGUUGUCCGGAAUUAUUGGGCGUAAAGAGCUCGUAGGCGGUCUGUCGCGUCGGCUGUGAAAACCCGAGGCUCAACCUCGGGCCUGCAGUCGAUACGGGCAGACUAGGGUGCUGUAGGGGAGACUGGAAUUCCUGGUGUAGCGGCGAAAUGCGCAGAUAUCAGGAGGAACACCGGUGGCGAAGGCGGGUCUCUGGGCAGUAACUGACGCUGAGGAGCGAAAGCGUGGGGAGCAAACAGG